AACUAUAAUAACUUUUAGUAGCCAGUCUUCAACAAGAGAAGAUGGAUCCUGAGAAAUGGCAAGUGACAGGGGAAAUUCCAGCUGUUGUGCUGUUUUCUCUUUUGCAUUUCCAGGAAGUUGUGUCCUCGUGAUCCAUCUUGGCAAGGCAGAUUCUGUCUUGUUCACCCAGCUGGUUUGGGAGAUUACUGAAGGGGAAGCUUGGGAGAAGAUCUGGCCAUUGUUAGUUACUUAUGCUUCAUUUCUGCUUCUUUGAUCUAAAGAAUUUAAUCUACAGGUUAGGCAAGGUAUUAUAUGAUCAAAAGAUUUGAAAGGUGUGCUUGGGCUGGAGAUGAGUUGAGCAUGGGGGGUUGCUGGUUUAAAAGCAAGGUACA
rnacentral:lncRNA from 1 species